rnacentral:rRNA from 1 species
GACGAACGCUGGCGGCGUGCCUAAUACAUGCAAGUCGGACGCACAGUCUAUACCGUAGCUUGCUACACCAUAGGCUGUGAGUUGCGAACGGGUGAGUAACGCGUAGGUAACCUGCCUAUUAGAGGGGGAUAACUAUUGGAAACGAUAGCUAAUACCGCAUAACAGUAUGUAACACAUGUUAGAUGCUUGAAAGAUGCAAUUGCAUCGCUAGUAGAUGGACCUGCGUUGUAUUAGCUAGUAGGUAGGGUAAUGGCCUACCUAGGCGACGAUACAUAGCCGACCUGAGAGGGUGAUCGGCCACACUGGGACUGAGACACGGCCCAGACUCCUACGGGAGGCAGCAGUAGGGAAUCUUCGGCAAUGGGGGGAACCCUGACCGAGCAACGCCGCGGGAGUGAAGAAGGGUUUCGGAUCGUAAAGCUCUGUUGUUAAGGAAGAACGAGUGUGAGAAUGGAAAGUUCAUACUGUGACGGUACUUAACCAGAAAGGGACGGCUAACUACGUG